rnacentral:rRNA from 1 species
AUGUACUCGGAGCCUGCUAAGUUCGUGGCGAAGCUGAGGGAGCUAAAGACAGACGACAACCUCCUGCUGUUCAAGUGCGAGCUCGGCGCCGGGCACUUCUCCAAGUCGGGGAGGUUUGAGAAGUUGCCAGAAGACGCCUUCACCUACGCAUUCAUCCUCAAGGCGCUGGGCAUGAUUCCUCCUACAACGGCUUCUUCGCUGUGA